AGAACACAAACCAACUAAGAGAGAUUAGUUCAACACAGAGAGAGAGGACAACAUCAAGUUUUCAGAGCCAGUCAGUUCAGCAAGAAAUGAGGUCAUUUCCUGGGUUUUUCCGAGAGGAGCGUAGAGGGAAAAGCUGUUUUGCACCAUAUAAGUGGAAAUGUAAAAGCUUAUUAAUGUAUUUUUACCUGCUGGACAAACAGCAUGAAAAAACACCAAAAGGAGAGGCAGAAGUACAUCUCACUAUGGCUGGACUUGAAAGACAGCAGUUAAAUGUGCAAGAAAAUUUCCCCCAUUCAGAGCUUUCAGAUAUACUUGUGAAAUUGUUUCUAAAACUGGCCAACAUCUGUGGUGGAUGUUUGUUACGCAAGUCUUCAGGUAUGUUC
ensembl:processed_transcript